UACAAAAGUGUGGCCUAGUCUGCUCUCAGUAAAUAUGAGAUUUUAUUAUGACUGGGAGAAGGAUUGUGCGUUCCCAACAGAGAAACCGAUUGUUCGUGGAGCAAAUGAUCACACCUGUAAAUGAUUGUGGGACAAGCGUGGGCAGAGCUAACAGGACAACAAAGUUUCGGGACAUGUGACCUCCUCUUUGAAGCAGGUGUUCCUAUUUCAUGAUGUGAUAUGGAGGUAUAUCGUCACCUGCACUUUUAACUACACCUGUAUCCCUCCGCCAUACAGAAACUGAUGCAGGACUCAGGUCGUGGCAGUGCGGGCGCACAGGUCUGAAGGCUUGCUAAAAGCUGGAGACCGUCCACGGAGAGCAGGAAACGGCGGAGCAACGUACGUACUACUUGACGCCAAAGCGACCAUCAGCGGGCUCUUAUUUCAUUGUUUGUGCAAGCAUAACAGAUAAAUUUGCAUUUUUAAAAAAAAAUGGCCUGCAGCAACG